rnacentral:lncRNA from 1 species
CGACAUUAACUCUGCUAAAAACUACAGUAAUAAGGCUCCCAGACUGUAAUCUCACAUCAUCAUCAACUAUGCCGAACAAGAAUAUAUCUCUCACUAACAGCAAAAGAAUAGCACGGGAGGUGCAACCAACCAAACAUAACAAACACUGCCACCACAGGUAUAAUAGAUACUCAGUUCCCUUUGCCCAAUAUAGGGUUACACAAUGACGAAUCUAGGUAGGUAAGAAGAUGGGUGGGUGUGAUCUAGAGGCGCGACAAAAACGACGACGACGGUUUCACUACGAUAUAAGUAUCUGGCUUCCAAAAGAUCAAGAGCAGCAUGGCCGCGCCGUCAUCGUCUAGCUUGA